ACGGAGGAUCCAAGCGUUAUCCGGAAUCAUUGGGUUUAAAGGGUCCGUAGGCGGUCUUAUAAGUCAGUGGUGAAAUCCCAUCGCUCAACGAUGGAACUGCCAUUGAUACUGUAAGACUUGAAUACUUAGGAAGUAACUAGAAUAUGUAGUGUAGCGGUGAAAUGCUUAGAUAUUACAUGGAAUACCAAUUGCGAAGGCAGGUUACUACUAAGUGAUUGACGCUGAUGGACGAAAGCGUGGGGAGCGAACAGGAUUAGAUACCCUGGUAGUCCACGCCGUAAACGAUGGAUACUAGCUGUUGGGAGCAAUCUCAGUGGCUAAGCGAAAGUGAUAAGUAUCCCACCUGGGGAGUACGUUCGCAAGAAUG
rnacentral:rRNA from 1 species